GUAGGUGGCAAGCGUUGUCCCGGAAUUAUUGGGGCGUAAAGCGCGCGCAGGGCGGUCCUUUAAGUCUGAUGUGAAAGCCCACGGCUCAACCGUGGAGGGUCAUUGGAAACUGGGGGACUUGAGUACAGAAGAGGAAAGCGGAAUUCCAAGUGUAGCGGUGAAAUGCGUAGAGAUUUGGAGGAACACCAGUGGCGAAGGCGGCUUUCUGGUCUGUAACUGACGCUGAGGCGCGAAAGCGUGGGGAGCAAACAGGAUUAGAUACCCUGGUAGUCCACGCCGUAAACGAUGAGUGCUAAGUGUUAGGGGGGUUUCCGCCCCUUAGUGCUGCAGCUAACGCAUUAAGCACUCCGCCUGGGGAGUACGGCCGCAAGGCUG
rnacentral:rRNA from 1 species